AUUUAUAUAGUUUAAAUUAAAACUUUACAUUUUCAUUGUAAAAAUAAAAAAAAUUUUUUAUAAAUA
rnacentral:tRNA from 1 species